UACGUAGGGUGCAAGCGUUAAUCGGAAUUACUGGGCGUAAAGCGUGCGCAGGCGGUUUUGUAAGUCUGACGUGAAAUCCCCGGGCUCAACCUGGGACCUGCAUUUGUGACUGCAUCGCUGGAGUGCGGCAGAGGGGGAUGGAAUUCCGCGUGUAGCAGUGAAAUGCGUAGAUAUGCGGAGGAACACCGAUGGCGAAGGCAAUCCCCUGGGCCUGCACUGACGCUCAUGCACGAAAGCGUGGGGAGCAAACAGG
rnacentral:rRNA from 1 species